GUGUGACUUCGGCCAUCGCUCUGGUAGUCCCGGUAGCUGACGAACUCCUGCCAAGGGCAGCGGUAGCCCUUGGAGAUGGCGGUGUGGUUGAACUUCUCUGGCGGGACGCCCUUCAGCGGCUCCGCAUAGCCUAGGGGCGCGGGGGGAAGGGAGCGCCUCCGUUCUUCCACCCUCAGCCCCCAACCCCACCUCGCCCCACCCCCAUUCCGCGGACGCGGUUGGAGGAGGGAAGAUCGGAGUUAGGGGAGAGGACGGCGGGAAUGGGAAGCCACAGUUGCUCCAGCACAGGAGACCCCUCCCCAUCCCAGGAAACACGGAGGACUGCAGUGAGGAAGCCACGAGUUCGCAGCGCGGGGAGAGAUGCCUAAAAAGAUAACACUUUUCAAGGAUCACACUGAAAGGCAGGAGCCUAAUCUGAUGGGAACAUCACAGUCCUCAGCCUGGCUUACCGUUUGACUUUAGGCUAACCAGUGGCUCUCUGUGGUCCUCAUUUUCCCCAUGAGCACAAUGGUGGCUUACUCACCGCCCGCUGGCUGGCUGCUAACUCGAAAGUGAACUUCUGCACACGGCGCUGCCUCUUCUGGAAGAGGAGGGACCCUCUGUUGUUGCGUAGUGACAGCUCCUCCAUCAUCAGGUCUUUGCCCAUAAUGGUGGAGGUAGUGAGAAAUGGUCAGAUUCUCGAUAUUUUUUAAAGACGAGUUUCACUCUUGUUGCCCAGGCUGGAGUGCAAUGGCAUGAUCUCGGCUCACUGCAACCUCUGCCUCCCGGGUUCAAGCGAUUCUCCUGCCUCAGCCUCCCGAGUAGCUGGAAUUGCAGGCAUGCACCAUCACGCCUGGCUAAUUUUGUAUUUAUAGUAGAGAUGGGGUUUCUCCAUGUUGGUCAGGCUGGUCUCGAGCUCCCAACCUCAGGUCAUCCGCUUGCCUCAGUCUCCCAAAGUGCUGGGAUUACAGGCGUGAGCCACCUCCCCCAGCUGAGCUCAAUAUUUAAAAAAAAAAAAUGGCAGGCACAGUGGCUCACAACUAUAAUCCCAGCACUUGCAGAGGGCAAAGUGGGUGGAUUGCUUGGGCCCAGGAGUUCAAGACCAGCCUGGGCAAUAUAGCAAGACCCUGUCUCUAUUAAAAAAUAAAAAAAGAUAAAAUCUAUUUGACUGAGUAUUUCUAUUUCUAGGAAUUUAUUCUCGGGGAAAAAGUUGAAUAAAUAUGUCCAAAGAUA
rnacentral:lncRNA from 1 species